rnacentral:rRNA from 1 species
UACGUAGGGUGCAAGCGUUGUCCGGAAUUAUUGGGCGUAAAGAGCUCGUAGGCGGUUUGUCGCGUCUGCUGUGAAAUCCCAGGGCUUAACCUUGGGCCUGCAGUGGGUACGGGCAAACUAGAGUGCGGUAGGGGAGAUCGGAAUUCCUGGUGUAGCGGUGAAAUGCGCAGAUAUCAGGAGGAACACCGGUGGCGAAGGCGGAUCUCUGGGCCAGUACUGACGCUGAGGAGCGAAAGCGUGGGGAGCGAACAGG